UACGUAGGGUGCGAGCGUUGUCCGGAAUUAUUGGGCGUAAAGAGCUCGUAGGCGGUUUGUCACGUCGGCUGUGAAAACCCGAGGCUCAACCUCGGGCCUGCAGUCGAUACGGGCAGACUAGAGUAUGGCAGGGGAGACUGGAAUUCCUGGUGUAGCGGUGAAAUGCGCAGAUAUCAGGAGGAACACCGGUGGCGAAGGCGGGUCUCUGGGCCAUAACUGACGCUGAGGAGCGAAAGCGUGGGGAGCGAACAGG
rnacentral:rRNA from 1 species